rfam:Rhizophagus irregularis DAOM 181602 strain DAOM 197198 GLOINscaffold_15994_Cont15946, whole genome shotgun sequence.
AGUUAUGGCCAUGCCAUGCACAGUGGAAAGUGCCGAAUUGAUGGCCCAGUCAGUACUACGGUUGGGGACAGCCUGGGAAUAUUGAGUGCUGUAACUC